rnacentral:rRNA from 1 species
UACAGAGGGUGCGAGCGUUGUUCGGAAUUAUUGGGCGUAAAGCGCUUGUAGGCGGCCUAUCAAGUCGCGUGUGAAAUCCCUAGGCUUAACCUAGGAAGUGCGCGCGAAACUGACGGGCUUGAGUGCUGGAGAGGGUCGCGGAAUUCCCGGUGUAGAGGUGAAAUUCGUAGAUAUCGGGAGGAACACCAGUGGCGAAGGCGGCGACCUGGACAGACACUGACGCUGAGACGCGAAAGCGUGGGGAGCAAACAGG